UAGAUGGAGGGAGAGAGAGAGGGAGGAAGCGGGAAUGCAGUGUGCCAAAGCUUCACCACCCACCGCUCGUGUCUGUAAUCUCUCGGGAAGGAGCUAGCUAUCAGGGAAAAGAGUUGUUGUGUUGUGAGGAGUGCUGACAGCUUCGUCUCUUCUGCCCCCUACUGCAGAGGGAGUGUUGAUGGAAGACGAUUUCAAAGGGGAAGAAGAAUGGUGCGGAUGUCUAGGAGGUUGCUGUCAAGCCCAAAGAAAGUCAAUGACAAUCCAGAGCUGCUGCUGCUACAAUAAUAUUUGGUACAUUUCAGUAAGUGUUAUCUAUGUGUUUAUCUUCUGCAAACUGCAGCUUAUUCAUGUCUGUUCUGUUUUUCUCUGAAUUGUAAAGUGUUAUGGAUCAAGUGUGACUUCAACUUUUCCUUUAAUCAACUUCUUACUGUGAGUAAUGCUAUCUUAUAAACACACUAUCUGCUGA